rnacentral:rRNA from 1 species
UGCGCAGGCGGAAGUUUAAGUCUGACGUGAAAUACCUGGGCUCAACCUGGGAAUGGCGUUGGAUACUGGACAUCUAGAGUGUAUCAGAGGGGGGUAGAAUUCCACGUGUAGCAGUGAAAUGCGUAGAGAUGUGGAGGAACACCGAUGGCGAAGGCAGCCCCCUGGGAAGACACUGACGCUCAGGCACGAAAGCGUGGGGAGCAAACAGGAUUAGAUACCCUGGUAGUCCACGCCCUAAACGAUGUCAACUAGUGUUGGGGCAGUCAUGCCUUAGUAACGCAGCUAACGCGAGAAGUUGACCGCCUGGGGAGUACGGUCGCAAGAUUAAAA